rnacentral:lncRNA from 1 species
GCAAACUUGCUACGCUGCUGGUUCCGCUAGUUGAAACGCUGGAUCCCCCAGUGUAAUCAUCUUCACUGGAACCUCGAGUGCUGCUUAUCGUAUCCGAAGGUACUGGGGAGUACUCUUUUAUGCUGCUGCACCCCGUCUCACUUUCUAUUAUGUGAUCCAAUGCACAAACCACCUGCCCUUUUCCCCACAUUUGUUUUUGUUAUUGUGUGAUCAAUUAUUAGUUUAUUAACCUACAUGACCAAUAGAUGAACCAAAAAAGAUGAACACUUGCCUUUUCCAUGGACAAUCUUUUCUUAGGGUCCUUGCUCAAGCACUUCUCUGCUACUCUCACCAUCCAGAAUAGCUGAUGCACAUCGUGGGUGUCCAAGAUCCUCUGGUCAAUCAAGUCUGGGUAAUUCUUAUCUUUCAGUAGUGGUCUUGCCUGCAUACAAUUGAUUGAAAACCCUAAUUCUUAUUUGGAUUUCUAUGCAUAAUGAGAAUGAUAUAUUAUUAAGCAGAAAAGAAAGCAUCUUUCUUUUGUUGUGUUAGUUGUUAAUUACCCAUCCCACUAGACUUUUCCCACCAAGUUUCUUGUCUGUGGUUUUGAGUCCAGUGAUCAGUUGUAACAGCACUAUCCCAAAUGAGUACACAUCUGUCUUGGUUGAUACUUUCCCAUAUUCUGCAUAUUCUGGUGCCAAGUAUCCCAGUGUUCCGACCACAUUUGUCUCCGUUGACAGUUCUUGAUCUUCUUGCUGUGUUCUUGCCAGGCCAAAAUCCCCUAGCUAGAAACAGUCCAGUCCACCGUGUUAGUUAUAAGACCAUCUCCAUCGUAAAAAUGAUUUGACAUUUCUAAUAAGAACUUUAUCACCACAUCACAAUUUCUAUUGAUAAAAUCUACAAUAUAAUUUACCUUUAAUUUUUUUUGUUUUAUUAAUUUAUCCUUACAAAAUUAAUGCUUUUCUUAGAAACUUAUUCUAUUUUACCUAUGUGGUAUUACUAGUUGAAUUACUAAUUAGGUGUCACCUCACCUUCUACCUCAUUUUAGCAAUUGCUAAAGUUUGAGGAUGGAGAUGCUCUAAGACCAGCUCUCUGCUAGUGUAUCUAUCAACAUUCAUUUCCAUAUUUCAUGCUAACGACAGGACAGACAUACCAUUGCCUCAUAAUCAUGGGUUAUGAGGAUGUUGCUUGGUCUCAUAUCUCUGUGGAUAAUGUUGUUUUCAUGCAAAUACUGUAACCCUUUUGCAGCUCCAAUGGCUAUCUUCAUUCUCAUUUCCCAACUGAGAGGCUUUCGGGUGUGUUCUGCAUUUGUUUCAUAAACAUGAUCAAUACAUCCACAAAAUAGUUUCAAAAUAAAGGACAAGCGCACAUAGUUGAUGAGAUUCUUACUUGAUAGGUGUUGAUCCAGAGAACCAUUGCAGACAUACUCAUACACAAGCAAUCUAUGGCUUCCUUCAGCACACGAACCUAACAACGUCACUAAAUUCUCAUGUCUUACUCUCUUCAGCACCAUAACUUCUGCUUUGAAUUCUUUCUCCCCCUGCAGGCUGGCACUCUUGUGUUGCUUCACAGCAACCUUCAUCCCAUUGAUAUCUCCUUUGUAGACAGAGCCAAACCCUCCUUCUGACAAGAAAUUCUUCACCGAAAAUCCUUCAGUAGCGGAAUGUAGCUCAGAGUACGUGAAGUCUCUCUUCCAUUCUGUCUUUGGCCUCUCAUUGUUGCAGAUUGAGCAAAUGGAGUUCCUAAAGGGCUCCUCCACUUUAGGACUGCUGUCUUCUGUAACUUCUUCCUCUUGGAUUUCACUCGGUGACACUGGAGGCUUAGCAUUAUUUGCUGCUUCUCUUUCAGCAAGGGUGGACUUCUCCUCCUCUUCAGGAUCUGCAGAGACUCUCGUUGGUCCAGUAGUACCAGAACAUGAAGACUCGUAGAAAAGACGAGCUGUAGUUGAUGUUACAG